CAGGGAGACAACAAAAUGUUUAAUAUUAUUAUUUUGUCACCUUAGGUCGAUCGGUAUCUCACGUUUUUAAUUUAUUAAGAAUUUCAUUUCCUAAGUUUUUCUAGGUCACACCCAUUAUUUUUCCUGGGCCAUUAGCUCAGGUGGUUAGAGCGCACCCCUGAUAAGGGUGAGGUCCCUGGUUCAAGUCCAGGAUGGCCCAUAUCUCUAUGUUGGGGGUAUAGCUCAGUUGGUAGAGCGCCUGCUUUGCAAGCAGGAUGUCAGCGGUUCGAGUCCGCUUACCUCCACUGAUUACCACCUCUUCCAUAACCGGUAAAAAGGAAAUGUUUUGUGUUGUGAUCAAAUACUGAAAGAAUCCAGCUUCCUAAUGAAAUCAUUAAGAUGCUGGACUCAUUGAAUUAAUUUCAUUGUUUUCAGAGAACCUUGACAACUGCAUAGAUUAUUUUUAAAGACAAUAAGCAUCUUUAAUGAUGCAGAUUUAUUAUUUGUGCGAAUGCAUUAAUAACAAUUCUAUUAAGCUGAUGCUCCAAUUUUUGAAGUUAUU
rnacentral:tRNA from 1 species